CGUACCGUCCACUAGGUUGGCACGAGUAGCGUUUUCCCUCUAAUUUUUUGUGCCCGUUUUGCCUUUUAAUAAAACUGGUUGUCUGAAUCGUCCGGCAUUUUGUACGCUAGCUUUUGAAGCUUGGGGUUGUGGCAGGUUUUCUUUUGUGUGACCGAUUUCUUUUUGAGCCGGUAGUGCUACCCCAAUAAGAGGGGGAUAUGUAAAUUGGUCACUAAUUUAUGAUUUCCCAUACUUUUGGAUCUAUUUGGAGUUUGGGAUGGGAAUCUUCCUCAACGAGGGAUUUUGAAAAGAAUUGUCAUUGCCCCACAUUUCCAGAAAACCCUCUAAUCGAGGUUUUUUUUUUUUAAUUAGUAUUGUACGUAUUGUUGCUCCGUUUCCCGCAAACCUUAGACUUGGUGUCUUGCAGUGUAUCCUGUCUCUUGGGUACAUGUUUAGUUGCGGAGUUUCCCCUAUCGAGCAGCAGGCUUUCCGGAUGGACUUUGCUGGUUUAACUGGGACUGCCCACCUGCGGCUGCCCCAUUGAGCCACCAUUCCAUCUUGGCUUGGUUCCCGGGAUAGUGACAGAGCUGUGUAACGUUCGGGACAUCUUGAGGUUUGGGUAGCUUAAGUGGCCUGUUCUCUUUAAGAACGGUUUGCGGAACUUAUAGCCUUAAAUUAUAGUGUCUUACAUUCUUUUGCACCGCCAAAACUUGAAGGUGAGAUUUGACACUCACACCUACCACCAGGUUGAAGGAAAUAAAUUAUUGUUCGUGAUUCACUUGUUUAUUUCCUUUACGGGUUGGAACCUCGGGUUGAUAAGUCUACCCUUUUCGAAUCACGUGGCGCCUACCUACCACCUUCCGGAUCUCACCGAGGUGCCGUUCACCGCCUUCCAACUUGGCUUUGGUUUAGUAUUUUUUUUUCUACUUUAUUAAUUUUUUUUUUCUCGGUUGUUAAUGAGUUAGCCUAGGCAUUGUCUUACCUCACUACUAAAUUACGAAUUUAAUUAAUUAAUGCGUUUCUUUUUCACGACCCUGAGAUGGAGAGGUAAGAGACCAACUUAUUUAUCCUAAAAACAAAGGUAGAAAUAAAGGGAUAUGGGAAAUUUAAUUCAAUUUCAAAAGAAAUUUCUUACUUUUUAGUAUUUUCUUCUGGUGCUUUUCUUUUAUAAAUUUUGAUACAUUUGGUAUCCACUAAAAUAAGACUUUAACUAUAAUAGCAGUAAUCGGCACACUAUAUAAAAAAACAUGUAAUUUUCAUCAGAUACUUUUCCAAUAAUAUAAAUAACUUCGAAAAUGUGGCAGUCUAAUUGUCAAAGUAAAUUUCCUUCUCUUGCCAAAUUGCUUUUUUUUAAAAUGUUGUUGCAAUUUCUUCUGUAUCUUACAGAUGUACACUAAGUGUGCUGAAGGUGAACAGGUUUUUUCAAUUAAAUUAUUUUACUAGACCUGUGCUUACAGAGAUUAGGAGUAGUGUUGUUGCCACACUUGCUCUUUUCCACUAUCCUUGCGCCUACACCGGGAUCGCAAGGAUGGUGUCAUCGCGUGGCCAGUGUUGUGUGACCCGUUCAUUUUACGACGACCGAAUCAAUCGGUGAUCGAUUACGAAAAGGACGAAUCUUUCUGUUUGAGCUAUAAUAAUAGUUAGCUGUCUUCUGCUUUUUACUGCAUCAUCAUUUUAUCAAUAUAAUUGGGACGUAUUGGGUUGGACGAGUAAUACAUUAAUUUCUGUAAAUUAAAUACCUGACUGAAAAUAGAUAGUUCAUUCAAUAUUCAAUUCAACACAUAAGUAAAUCCACCAAGGAUAUCGCAACUCAAUAAUAUACAAAUAUUAUAACAAUACUCAAAUUCCUUUUCUAUAGUCUGUUUCUGUCAUUCAUUUCAAUCUGUAACAAUUCAAAAGAACCGUAUUCCGCAAGACGAAUUGACACAACUCUAGGCACGCCUUAAAUUAACCAUGGAAAGAAAAAUAAUACCUAUGUUUGGUCACUGUAUAAAAAAGAGUUUUUAAUUGCAAGAAAUCGGGCAGCAGACCAAGUCUGUAUCAAAAGCGUCUAGUCUCUGCUGAGACGUAAUUGAUAAACAGAAUGUUUAGGUUAGAGCCAGCAAUUUGUAUAGAGAUAUCAAAUUUAAUAGUUUAAAUGUUUAAAAGCCGGAAUGCAAUUAAUUUUAGAAGGUAAAUUCAUAGGGUGGUGAGGUAUCAAAACUCCUCAACGAAUAGUUUUCCACGAGGUAAAAUUGAUUUAAUAUUUUAUAAUAGCUCAAAAGAGGCAUUUUGCAAGUUUAUCGCAAAAAAUGUCGCAUUUUAUAUUAUUAUCCUUUGUAGGUUGUAGAUUAAUAAAUAUAUGUAAAUUUCAGUUAUUGGAAAAUAAUAUCUUAAAUGUACAGAAACAAAAUGUUAAGCAUCAGGAAGGGACAACACAAUCAUAAACACUUGGAGGACCAACCACAAGGCGGAAAUAUUAAGAGUUGCCAGCAUGUCUGAGAGAGAAAGGAACUUGAGGGAAUUUAUAGAAUAGAUCUGCUUCAAGGAGUAAGAAUGGGAUAAUUCUAUCGGAGGAAUGGAAUCACAUAUGGCACUGACGUCGUGACUCCCAGAUACCUACAAGAUGGCACACAACACUUGUGGCGCAUACUUCAACGACUGAACAACACUAACCAUAGACAACUUGAAUUUCUAGCACAAAAGGAGUAAGAAUAGGAUAAUUCUAUCUCAGGAUUGGAAUCGCAUAUGGCACUGACGUCGUGACUCCCAGAUAUCUACAAGAUGGCACACAACAACUGUGGCGCAUACCUUCAUAACUGAACACAAAAGGAGUAAGAAUGGGAUAAUUCUAUCGUAGGAUUGGAAUCACAUAUGGCACUGACGUCGUGCCUCCCAUAUACCUACAAGAUGGCACACAACUGUGGCGCAUACCUCAACAACUUAACAACACUAACCAUAGACAACUUGAAUUUCUAACACAAAAGUUCCGGUUCAAUUGGAUUUGGUGCCACCUUACAUCGUGGACGGCACGUGUUAUGAAUUCUGCAACCCAAAAAUUCAUCAAGUCUUCAAGUUAGCUCGGUUCAGGACGUUGCAGUGCAUAUCUCCUCGUCCAAGAGUGAUAAGCAUUCGUGCCUAUCCCACUGACUGGUGAACCCGUAGGCUGUAUACAGAACAGCCAUCUUAGAGCUUGCCCGACUCGUUCGUUGCUGGUAACUGGAGGAUCACAGAUAAGCCUCUAUUUAUGUUCCGGUUAAUUUUAUGCCUAUUAAAUACAAAUUUCAAUUUUUAAAUAUCAAUAUAAAUUAAAGAGCUCAGUUAGGGUAAAGAUAAAGCACACAAUUAUAGAAACAUUUUUUUUGUAAGAAUUAUUUGUAAACGAUCGAUCGUAACCAAGCUUCCUGUGAUUAAUGUGUACUUGAGCCAAUAUAUGGAGAUUUAAACUGACGUGCCGGUCUUAUUUAUUAAUUAUUUAUUUGGUUUUUGGUUAUUUGGGUUCGAACUUUGUUAACUUUGUGAGUUUCUUUGGUGGCUAGUGAGCAAGGACACUAGUCACUAUCACUAACUUAUAGUAUAGGUUGAGGUUUUGUCCUAGCUGGCGCCCCGGUUUCCAACCUUUGAUUUACUUUCUUUUUUUAUACCCCGCCCAUGUUUUGAGAAACUGAGCUGCUUGGGCCCUAUACUUACUGCUUCCAAUCGGUAGCAAAGUGAGCAAAGUAAAGUAGGAUUGCUUCGGUCUCCCCUCCACUUUCAGUGGAAAAGAGACGUGGCAAUUUUUCUGGCGCCCAACGUGUAAUUUUUUUUUUUAACGCCCAACGUGUAUUUUUUUUUUAACGCCCAAUGUGUACAUUUUCUGGGAAUUUUUUAGCACCCAACGUGUAAAUUUUAUUAUUUUGUAGGUUCGUUGUUUUUAUAGCUUUUCAAAUAUUUCUGGCAAUUUUUUAUAGUUUAUUGAGUUUUGAAUUAAUGGGCCGUCAGUUUGGAUUUGUAUAUUGGUUCGAACUGCAAAAAAUACUUGGCUAUAUUUUUGAAUUUGAAUUUUGAAUCAAUGCGGGGUCACUCACAUAUUUUUGCCAGCGAGUAAUUUUGAAUAUUAGUUAUUGAAGAUUUUGGGUACUUAGCACUAAUUAUUUAAUUUGUUUUUUUUUCAUUGCUCUCUAUUGGUGGGCCAAUUUUUAGAGCGUGUAGAAGAACUUCGCCAUGCCCGUAAUGUCUCAGAGGCCGAUCUUUUCGCUUCCUCUUUAGAUCUUUUUCAGGGAAAAGCACUACUUUGGAAUAGGUCUGUUAUUAAAAGGUGUCAAAAUUGGAGAGAACUUCGUCAACUUUGUAUUUCGCAUUAUUUAGCACCAGAUUAUAAAUCUCGUUUAUUUGGGGAAAUUUUAUCCCGUACACAAGGUCCCAACGAAACAAUCGUGGAUUAUCUCGCUUGCAUGAGUACUAUGUUUAGCUGUUAUGGCAAUGUUCCCGAAGAAACUCAGGUCGAUAUCAUUUUAAGGAAUUUGGCUCCAUUCUACGUUAUGCAACUCCCAAUUGUAAGCUCUCUUAAUGAACUUGAGGCUGAAUGGCUAAAACUUGAGGUUAAAAAGUUCCGUGCGGAUCACUAUAGACCUCCCACUCGUAGGUCAAACCAAAGUUAUGUGGAACCCGAACUUGCAUAUUUGUCAGCAUCCACUCAGGAGUUGUCUUUAAAUAUAUCCAUUGCAAGCAUUGUUUUCGCUGUAAAAGAUCAAAUGUCACCGUUCGCACGUGCCCGGAAUGUUCACCUCGUGCGGGAAACGAUCACAGGAGGAACUAAUCGGUCGAAAUAGUACCUCCAGCUCUUUGCCUUGUUCGACCAAUCAUGUUUUUCCUCAUAAAGCAUUACUCGAUUAUGUCAUAUCUCAUGCUGAUAAAGAUCAACGCCCUUAUCUUGAAAUCACCAUAUUAGGGAAAACUAUUUUAGGAAUGCUUGAUUCCGGUGCUAACGUUACCGUUGUUGGUCAAUCUGGUUGGGAAUUUAGACUUAGGACUCAAGAUUACCUCGCCACCUGUCUCCGUUCAUGUUGCCAAUGGACAGUCUUGUAAAAGUUUAGGUCGAGUACCAGGGCAUAUGUGCUUGCUAGAUAAACUUUGCGUUGUCGACGUUUUGGUUGUGCCAAGCCUUCCCCAUCCUUUGAUCUUAGGUACUGAUUUCUGGACGAAAAUGGGUAUCGUCCCUGACUUGCGCCGUAAUGAGUGACAUUUCUCAAAUGAGCCUUAUGUUUGUCAAAUGAAUACUGUCUGUGACGUAGUAGAUCUGUCUGUAGAACAACGUAAUUCUCUUAACAUCUUGCUUGAUGAGAAGUUCUCAAAAAUGGGAACCACUUUAGGUCUUACUAAUGUGGUUGAGCACGAGAUUAUUGUUGAAGGUCCGCCUAUUAAAGAACGAAAGAACUGACAAAAAUGCUAGAACCUGAUGUUAUUGAACCAUCGAAAAGCGCUUGGUCUUCCCCGAUAUUAAUGGUACCAAAAAAAGAUGGAACUCAUCGUUUUUGUGUUGACUUCAGGCGUUUGAACGCCGUUACAAAAAAGGAUGCAUAUCCUAUUCCUUGUCUCCUCUAUACUUGAUAGCCUCGGUGGUGCAAAGUACUUAAGUCAAUUAAGGAAAGCAGUCGAGAAUAUUGUGCUUUCACGGUCCUCGGUCGUGGACUUUUUCAUUUUAAAAGAAUGCCAUUCGGAUUAACUAAUGCCCCGGCAACCUUCCAAAGGUUGAUGGAAAAAGUGUUAGAGUUGACCUUCAACCCAAUGUUUUCGUCUAUUUGGAUGAUAUAAUUAUUAUCUCUUCAGAUUUUGAGUCGUAUUUGAGUAUUAUUGGUAAGGUUUUUGAUCGUCUUCUAGAAUCUGGUCUUACAGUCUCGCGAAAAAUGUCAGUUUUGUAGACCGCAUCUUAAAUAUUUAGGUUAUAUUGUAGAUACAAAUUUCAAUUUUUAAAUAUCAAUAUAAAUUAAAGAGCUCAGUUAGGGUAAAGAUAAAGCACACAAUUAUAGAAACAUUUUUUUUGUAAGAAUUAUUUGUAAACGAUCGAUCGUAACCAAGCUUCCUGUGAUUAGUGUGUACUUGAGCCAAUAUAUGGAGAUUUAAACUGACGUGCCGGUCUUAUUUAUUAAUUAUUU